CUCGAGACAUUUGCACUAUAUCUGUAAGUAUUAUAUUGUAUUAUAGUGCAUUAUUCUACAUUUUAAAAUAGGUUAUUUAUAUAUAUAUAUAUAUAUAUAUAUAUAUAUAUAUAUAUAUAUUUUUUUUUUUUUUUUUUUUUUUUUUUUCCCCGAUGAUGUGUUGUUUUGCAUAAUUGCAUUGUUUUGUCUUGAUAUUUAAAAUAAAUAAUAAUGUGUACACACUGUGUAUUGACUUAAGAAAAAAAAAAAAAAAAAAAAAACUUGACCUAUUUUUAUUCAUGCAUGGCCUAAAGCUGGCCCUGCUCUGGGGUCACCAGAAAUGUGUGAUAUCAGAAUGGGGAUACAACCCAAUAAAGGUUGGGAACCACGACGUCAUCCACACUAGACAAAAACAAAUACGUUACUUUAAAAAAAAAAAAAAAAGAGCAUUAUUUAAAUUCACGUUUUCCAUGGCAACCGUGUCAUCUCUCACCCUAUAUAAGCGGUUAGAAAGAAAACAAACUGUUUUCCAGCAGUUGUAUCUGCAGUGCGCUGUGCAGUCUGCAAGGAAAACUCUGUCAGGAAUCGUCAGCGACCCUUUCUCGACAUUAUCAACAAGGAAUUCACAAAUUAACAACCCCUGCUCUCAAAAUGAGGACACCAUUAUCCAUGGUGAUGGAACCUUUGGUGAAGGAGGAGGAGGAGGAGGAGGAGUUGAAGCAUCUCCUACCUGAGAUCACUGAUAUUGUGCAGGUCUAUCCAGAGGUUGCAGGACUGGUGCACUGGGCGACUUACCCUGUGCCAUCAUCUACUCAUGUUUGUAGAUGUCCUCCUCCACCAUUAACAGACCUCAAAUUUUACAGCAGUCCAUUCUUCCCACCUGAGUGUUUUCCUUCUUUUGAAGAACGAGAUGAGUUGGAUGAGUUAUUGGCUAUCAUGCCACCAGAGGCCCUGGAACCCGUCCCAGUUCCAAAGAAAAGAAAACACGAGAAGGAUAAGGGGACGUACGUAAAGAAACCUCCCAACGCAUUUAUGCUGUUCUUAAAAAGCGAGAGGAAGACAGUCCAGGAAGAGCUCGGCAUUAAGAACAGUGCCGCAGUCAAUCGAGUUCUUUCUGAACGCUGGAAGUCUUUGGCAGAAGACAAAAGGCAGAUCUUCCAAGCUGAAGCCCAAGUGGAAGCUCACAUACACGCUCUCAAUAACCCCGGCUGGAGCAACAAAGUGAAUUACGGGACAAAGAGUAAGAAAUCAAGAACCAAAGCUCCACGUCUGCCUCCACCCUCCUACUGAUGGGACAUUACUACAGCAAACAUUACUAACAUACUAACGGUAAGUAUCAUUACUCAAAACAUCACUUCAUUUUAUGUUGAUUUUAUUUCAAAAUAGUUUUUCCACAAAUGUGAAAUCAAGUCACCAGUUAC
rnacentral:lncRNA from 1 species